rnacentral:rRNA from 1 species
CGUCGUCCCCUACUUUCGCGCCUCAGCGUCAGUGUCGGCCCAGCAACCCGCCUUCGCCGCAGGUGUUCCUCUCGAUAUCUACGCAUUUCACCGCUACACCGAGAAUUCCAGUUGCCCCUUCCGCACUCUAGCCCGACAGUAUCACUUGACCUAUCCGAGUUAAGCCCGGAGAUUUCACAAGUGACUUGUCGUGGCCGCCUACGCGCCCUUUACGCCCAGUAAAUCCGAACAACGCUUGCUCCCCCCGUAUUACCGCGGCUGCUGGCACGGAGUUAGCCGGAGCUUACAAAUGGUACCGUCAUCGUUUGAGGUAUUGGCUCAAACUUAUUCUUCCCAUUCUUGCGAAGUUUACAUCCCGAAGGAUUUCAUCCUUCACGCGGCGUUGCUGGGUCAGGCUUGCGCCCAUUGCCCAAAAUUCCCGACUGCUGCCUCCCGUAGGAGUCUGACCCGUUGUUCAGUGUCAGUGUGACCGACCGCCCUCUCAGGCCGGUUACGGAUCGUCGCCUUGGUGAGCCAUUACCUCACCAACUAGCUAAUCCGCCGUGGGCUUUUCUUAGGCGCGAGGUC